UACGGAGGUGGCAGGCGUUACUCGGAUUGAUUGGGUGUAAAGGGUGUGUAGGUGGUGGAAUAAGUCGAAUGUGAAAUCCCUUGGCUUAACCAAGGAACUGCAUUCGAAACUGUUCUGCUUGAGCGUUGGAGAGGAAGAUGGAAUUCACGGUGUAACAGUGAAAUGUGUAGAUAUCGUGAGGAACACCAGUGGCGAAGGCGAUCUUCUGGCUGACUGCUGACACUGAAACACGAGAGCAAGGGGAG
rnacentral:rRNA from 1 species